rnacentral:lncRNA from 1 species
CUGCUCAUCGACCGCUUUUCCUUCCACUCACACUCCCCACUCAGCUUCCUAUAUUAAGCCUCUUGUCACUAAAUCUCUGCUAAUUGACAAUUCCGCUUCAUUAAACUCUAACAGCCUACGCGAAGGCUCUGAUAAAUUUAAAUCCACUCGCCAAGUCCUACUCCGCCGCUGAUUUCUAACCUAAUUCGUUCCAACAAAUACUGCUGGUCCUUCCAAUUUUGAAUGAACUCUUCUCCCUCUCCAUCACUCCAGUACUGUUAUUUCCUCAAUUCUCUCUGCAUUCUUUCCCUCGACACUCAACAAUCAUGCUGGAAUUGAAAGUUAGAAAUUUAACAUACAUUGCCAACAUAGAAUUUGAAGGUCAAAAUUUACUUACCUCAUGUUUCCAUCUUCCACUGGUUCAGCAGAAUUUCUCUUCAAUCUCAUUUUUCCUAGCCAAUUCCAGUCGCAACGUCUCUCACUCACUCUUCUCGAUCUUUCUCCCUUUAUUCCCUCUCUUUUCUCCUAUUUACUUUUCUUUUUUUUUCUUAGCCCACCACUCCCUUUUAUACCCGACCCAGCUCAAUCGUAACCGUUGAAAUCCUCUACAACCUCCUCCACCGUCCAUCCUGAUGUUCCCUUACUAUUUAGUUCAGCCUCAACCAGUCCUCCUCUUGUAGGACACUACAGACGCAUAUAUUAAUUUCCCUUUUAGAAUACUCAAAUACAUUAAAACAUUACAUGAGUAUUUUAAGACAAGAGAUGAAUUAAUAAAAUUUAAUUUUUAUU